rnacentral:rRNA from 1 species
GAUGAACGCUGGCGGCGUGCCCAAUACAUGCAAGUCGAGCGAACAGAUAAGGAGCUUGCUCCUUUGAAGUUAGCGGCGGACGGGUGAGUAACACGUGGGUAACCUACCUAUAAGACUGGGAUAACUUCGGGAAACCGGAGCUAAUACCGGAUAACAUUUAGAACCGCAUGGUUCUAAAGUGAAAGAUGGUUUUGCUAUCACUUAUAGAUGGACCCGCGCCGUAUUAGCUAGUUGGUAAGGUAACGGCUUACCAAGGAGACGAUACGUAGCCGACCGGAGAGGGAGAUCGGCGACACUGAAACUGGGACACGGUCCAGACUCAUACGGGAGGCAGAGGGAGGGAAUCUUCCGCAAUGGGCGAAAGCCUGACGGAGCAACGCCGCGUGAGUGAUGAAGGGUUUCGGCUCGUAAAACUCUGUUAUUAGGGAAGAACAAAUGUGUAAGUAACUGUGCACAUCUUGACGGUACCUAAUCAGAAAGCCACGGCUAACUACGUGCCAGCCGCCGCAGUAAUAC